rnacentral:rRNA from 1 species
ACGCUCGACACCUACGUGAGGCAGCAGUGGGGAAUAUUGCACAAUGGGGGAAACCCUGAUGCAGCGACGCCGCGUGAGCGAAGAAGUAUUUCGGUAUGUAAAGCUCUAUCAGCAGGGAAGAAACUGACGGUACCUGACUAAGAAGCACCGGCUAAAUACGUGCCAGCAGCCACGGUAAUCUGAGCGGGCUGGCAAGGC